rnacentral:rRNA from 1 species
UACGAAGGGUGCAAGCGUUAAUCGGAAUUACUGGGCGUAAAGCGCGCGUAGGUGGUUCAGUAAGUUGGAUGUGAAAUCCCCGGGCUCAACCUGGGAACUGCAUCCAAAACUGCUGAGCUAGAGUACGGUAGAGGGUAGUGGAAUUUCCUGUGUAGCGGUGAAAUGCGUAGAUAUAGGAAGGAACACCAGUGGCGAAGGCGACUACCUCGACUGGUACUGACGCUGAUGUGCGA